UCCGCCUGCAAACAGCAGACAGACGCAGACAUUGUGAACGCUGCAUGUUGUUGGCAGUUUGGUUGUUGCUGCUAGUUGCCGUGUGAGGUGAUGAGGAGAUGGUGCCAAGUGCUGCAUUAAUUUUAAAAUUUUUGUCUGACACUGUCAGCGGUGUUUACACUCAUUUGCAAGUCGCCAAGCCAAGGCAGCGCAGCCGGAGUUAGAGUUUCAGUCUGGCAGUAGUAUUUGCAUUUGCCUUCUUGCUUGCCUUCGUUUGCAAAGCCGAAAAUUCGUCAAGUAAAUUUUAUGAAAGGCCAACACAAAUUGUCAUAGGCUGUGCACGUGUCUGUCGUGCAGCUGCUGCGAGUUGUGCGUGUAACAGACGAGGCUGGAUAAUUUCUGAAAGUAACAAAAAGAAAUCAAACUGGCAUGAAGCACUUUGGAAGCAAAAGUUAUUUUAACAAAACUGGAAGGAAAAAUUAUUUAUGACGAGCUGAAGUUGGGAAGAGGAGUGGAAUGGACAAUAGGUAACAGACGAGGCUGGAUAAUUUCUGAAAGUAACAAAAAGAAAUCAAACUGGCAUGAAGCACUUUGGAAGCAAAAGUUAUUUUAACAAAACUGGAAGGAAAAAUUAUUUACGACGAACUGAAGUUGGGAAGAGGAGUGGAAUGGACAAUAGGUAACAGACGAGGCUGGAUAAUUUCUGAAAGUAACAAAAAGAAACCAAACUGACAUGAAGCACAUUGGAAGCAAAAGUUAAAUUAACAAAACUGGAAGGAAAAAUUAUUUACGACGAGCUGAAGUUGGGAAGAGGAGUGGAAUGGACAAUAGUAACAGACUCGAGUAGAUAAUUUCUGAAACCCAAAAAGAAAUCAUGUUGAAAUGAAACUCAUUGGAAGCAAAGAUAUAAUAACAAAACUGAAAGGAAAAAUUGUGUAUGUGCUAUCUGAAGUCAGGAUGAGAGGCGUUGUUGAAUUUUUAAAAGUUGCGGGCUUUAGCUCGAUUUCCAGCAAAACUACACGUCCUAUAUGAAAAAGUUAUAUGUCAAAAUUGUAGUUAAUGAGAAGAUCUACAACUUUGGUAUGAACAUCUUUUAAGGAUAACAUCACAAUUUAUGUGAAAAUGCAAAUACUCCAGUUUUUGGGUGUUUUAUUUUUUUCUGGCGCAAAUUUCAUUCUUUCAGAUAGUUGAAAGUGAAGGCAAGGAUGCUGCAGUAGUUCUCCCACGAAUGGGGGUCUAAGUAAACCGAACGAACUGGGAUUUUUAUUCGACCAAGAACGGUCAACUCGGCAGCAUGCUUCGAAUUGCUUCAGCGUGCCUCGAAUUACUUCAGCAAACUUUUCUGAUGUUACACAGCAGCAACUAUUUCUGCUUAUUCAAGGAUACAAAUAAGUAUAUAGCACCGCUUCCACGACAGUUGGCUCUACAUAAUCGGAAGGGACCUGGAUUUUUAUCAUUUUUCUCCGGCCAAUGUCAGCAGCAUGCCUCCAAAUCAGUGCAAUGAUGUUUUUUGCUGCUACAGAUACAAGUUUUUUCUCUAAAGCGCUGCCCUGGUGUACUGCAAACCGAAAUACUUACCAAUAGAUAUAUUUUUAGACUGCUAUUUCUUACAUUUUAACUAUUAUGAACAUAUAAUUACAGUAAAUUCUCAAUAAAAAUAAAAAUAUAUAUAGCUGAAAGCCUAAAA